rnacentral:rRNA from 1 species
CCUACGGGUGGCAGCAGUGGGGAAUAUUGCACAAUGGGGGAAACCCUGAUGCAGCGACGCCGCGUGAGUGAAGAAGUAUUUCGGUACGUAAAGCUCUAUCAGCAGGGAAGAAAAUGACGGUACCUGACUAAGACGCCCCGGCUAACUACGUGCCAGCAGCCGCGGUAAUACGUAGGGGGCAAGCGUUAUCCGGAUUUACUGGGUGUAAAGGGAGCGUAGAGGGCAGCGCAAGUCUGGAGUGAAAUCCCAUGGCUUAACCAUGGAACUGCUUUGGAAACUGUGCAGCUAGAGUGCAGGAGAGGUAAGCGGAAUUCCUGGUGUAGCGGUGAAAUUCGUAGAUAUUAGGAGGAACACCAGUGGCGAAGGCGGCUUACUGGACUGUAACUGACGUUGAGGCUCGAAAGCGUGGGGAGCAAACAGGAUUAGAUACCCCUGUAGUC